rnacentral:tRNA from 1 species
UUUAAUUUAGCAUAAAAAAUGCGAAGAGUUUAAGCCUCUUAGAUUAUAAUUAAAA